UGUACAUAAUCGACCGAUCGUGGCAUGCAAGAAGGUGGGAUCUUCAGAGAACGGUCAAAGCGAUGCAAGUACGGUUACAUGU